UACGAGGGGUCCUAGCGUUGUUCGGAAUCAUUGGGCGUAAAGAGCUCGUAGGUGGCUUAGUAGUCAGGUGUGAAAUCCCAGGGCUCAACCCUGGACGUGCACUUGAAACUGCAUAGCUUGAGUACGGUAGAGGUGAGUGGAAUUCCCGGUGUAGCAGUGAAAUGCGUAGAGAUCGGGAGGAACAUCUGUGGCGAAGGCGACUGCCUGGACCAGCACUGACACUGAGGCACGAAAGCGUGGGGAGCAAACAGG
rnacentral:rRNA from 1 species